UGGCAGAUUAAUGCAAGGGGCGGUGACAAGCUAGAGGCAGCAACUGCAUAUCUUGCAAGAAAAUUGGUUUUUGAACCAUACCGAUAAUUUUCUUGCAAGUUGUGCAGUUGUUGUCUCAAGCUUGCUGCCUCCCUUUGCCAAAACUAUGAAGAAAAGCACAGGUUAUAUUAUCAGUGAACACAUUGGCACAAAUUUUAACUGAUAUGUGUUGGUAACAGACAUGACGUUUAAUUGGAAAUCUUGCAGCAUGAUGCACAUACAGCAGCUCUUAGGUACUCCCUCCAUUCCAAAUUAUAAGACGCAUUGGAUUUUCUAGACACAUUGAUUUUACUAUAUAUCUAGACAUAGUGUAUAUCUAAGUGCAUAGCAAAAACUAUGUCUAGAAAAGCUAAAACAUCUUAUAAUUUGGAAUGGAAGGAGUAUAAAACUGACGGAGAACGAUGUUUGUUACUAGACCUAGAAAUUGCACUCCGACUUGUCCAAUUCUUUUUGCAAUGUAGAGGCUAUUUUAAUGUGACUUUGCUUACUUAUGGAUCAACAAGCGGUAUGUUAAGGUAUUGCAGUGGGUACUGUUGUGCUACGAUGUUGCAAGCAGACUCCAUGAAGUCAUAACAAGGUGAGUGGAAAUUCUUAUAAGAACAUGUCAGUAUAAGUAAAUGAUCUCCUCAUUUUAUGAUUUGAAGGGUGCUGAUGACCUUUAAGUCAGUGCUGGUUCUUCUGCCGUAUGUGUUCAGGGUGUUCAGUAUCUAUUCUACAGCAAGCUUUAAUGUCGUAGAAGACUAGAAGGUAUAUUUGAGGGCAGUUUCUGGCGUGUAAACUAUCCAGCCUGUGGCAUGGUACUUCGGUGUUCAUGGGAUGUUCUGAAACAGCACUAGAAUUUCGACAAUCCUGGACAAGGCGUCUGCUGACAUCUAGUUUUCUUGAUGCAAGAUGAGUUCCAAUUAACAUACAGCAGUAGAAUUCAAGUUCGUACGACACACUGUUCUCCAUUGGCACACUGUAAAUUCUGCUUCGAGAACAUGUAAAUAAGAAUGCGUUGAUGUUUUGUUAUCAAUUAAUGAUUAUUGUAAAAACAUUUUAAGAUCAUUCGAAACAUUUGUUUCGAGUCCAGAUUGUGUAACAUCCGAAUCAGCAAAAUUUUGAAGCUGACUUAGCGAACUUGAAAACAUUAUCGAAUGGGAUAUAAUAUCACAAUUCUCGUGUAAA